UACAGAGGUCCCAAGCGUUGUUCGGAUUCACUGGGCGUAAAGGGUGCGUAGGUGGCCAGGUAAGUUUGGUGUGAAAGCUCGGAGCUUAACUCCGAAAAGUCAUUGAAUACUAUCUGGCUGGAGGGUCGGAGGGGAGACUGGAAUUCUCGGUGUAGCAGUGAAAUGCGUAGAUAUCGUGAGGAACACCAGAGGCGAAGGCGGCUACCUGGACAAUUGCUGACGCUCAGGCACGAAAGCGUGGGGAGCAAAAGGG
rnacentral:rRNA from 1 species